UGUUUAAGGUUCUUUGGGUGAUAGAAUCUUACCUGAGGCCCCAGAGGCAUGUGUCAGUGAAAGAUGUCUGGGCUGUAGACCUAGCUGUCUCCCUUCAUCUUGCAUCUUGCAGGGGCUCUCUGGGAAAGACAGGAACCACGACAAAGGCAAGUCCAAGGUGGAACAGUGUUCUCACAUCUCGGGCUGGCCUCUCACAGGUGCAGAAGAUGUUGAGACAGUGACGAUGGAUGAAAUUACAAGAUGACGAAGGAGUGCCCCAUCACAACUUGAAGCACCUGCUUGACAGAGAAACAAAUUCAAGGGGGAGGUGAUUUCGAUGCCAGCAUGUCUCAGCCUACCUCCCAAUUCACAGUGGAUUCAUGAUCUGCAGAAAAAUGAAGAACACAAAGCCCUGCAGGUCAAGCAGAACCAC
rnacentral:lncRNA from 1 species